rnacentral:tRNA from 1 species
GCGGGCGUGGCGGAACUGGCAGACGCGCUAGACUUAGGAUCUAGUGGUAACCCCGUGGAGGUUCAAAUCCUCUCGCCCGCA